rnacentral:rRNA from 1 species
CUGACUGACCGAUAGUGAACCAGUACCGUGAGGGAAAGGCGAAAAGAACCCCGGCGAGGGGAGUGAAAAAGAACCUGAAACCGUGUACGUACAAGCAGUGGGAGCACAGAGCAAUCUGUGUGACUGCGUACCUUUUGUAUAAUGGGUCAGCGACUUAUAUUCUGUAGCAAGGUUAACCGAAUAGGGGAGCCGAAGGGAAACCGAGUCUUAACUGGGCGUUAAGUUGCAGGGUAUAGACCCGAAACCCGGUGAUCUAGCCAUGGGCAGGUUGAAGGUUGGGUAACACUAACUGGAGGACCGAACCGACUAAUGUUGAAAAAUUAGCGGAUGACUUGUGGCUGGGGGUGAAAGGCCAAUCAAACCGGGAGAUAGCUGGUUCUCCCCGAAAGCUAUUUAGGUAGCGCCUCGUGAAUUCAUCUCCGGGGGUAGAGCACUGUUUCGGCAAGGGGGUCAUCCCGACUUACCAACCCGAUGCAAACUGCGAAUACCGGAGAAUGUUAUCACGGGAGACACACGGCGGGUGCUAACGUCCGUCGUGAAGAGGGAAACAACCCAGACCGCCAGCUAAGGUCCCAAAGUCAUGGUUAAGUGGGAAACGAUGUGGGAAGGCCCAGACAGCCAGGAUGUUGGCUUAGAAGCAGCCAUCAUUUAAAGAAAGCGUAAUAGCUCACUGGUCGAGUCGGCCUGCGCGGAAGAUGUAACGGGGCUAAACCAUGCACCGAAGCUGCGGCAGCGACGCUGAUGCGUUGUUGGGUAGGGGAGCGUUCUGUAAGCCUGUGAAGGUGUGCUGUGAGGCAUGCUGGAGGUAUCAGAAGUGCGAAUGCUGACAUAAGUAACGAUAAAGCGGGUGAAAAGCCCGCUCGCCGGAAGACCAAGGGUUCCUGUCCAACGUUAAUCGGGGCAGGGUGAGUCGACCCCUAAGGCGAGGCCGAAAGGCGUAGUCGAUGGGAAACAGGUUAAUAUUCCUGUACUUGGUGUUACUGCGAAGGGGGGACGGAGAAGGCUAUGUUGGCCGGGCGACGGUUGUCCCGGUUUAAGCGUGUAGGCUGGUUUUCCAGGCAAAUCCGGAAAACUAAGGCUGAGGCGUGAUGACGAGGCACUACGGUGCUGAAGCAACAAAUGCCCUGCUUCCAGGAAAAGCCUCUAAGCAUCAGGUAACAUCAAAUCGUACCCCAAACCGACACAGGUGGUCAGGUAGAGAAUACCAAGGCGCUUGAGAGAACUCGGGUGAAGGAACUAGGCAAAAUGGUGCCGUAACUUCGGGAGAAGGCACGCUGAUAUGUAGGUGAAGUCCCUCGCGGAUGGAGCUGAAAUCAGUCGAAGAUACCAGCUGGCUGCAACUGUUUAUUAAAAACACAGCACUGUGCAAACACGAAAGUGGACGUAUACGGUGUGACGCCUGCCCGGUGCCGGAAGGUUAAUUGAUGGGGUCAGCGCAAGCGAAGCUCUUGAUCGAAGCCCCGGUAAACGGCGGCCGUAACUAUAACGGUCCUAAGGUAGCGAAAUUCCUUGUCGGGUAAGUUCCGACCUGCACGAAUGGCGUAAUGAUGGCCAGGCUGUCUCCACCCGAGACUCAGUGAAAUUGAACUCGCUGUGAAGAUGCAGUGUACCCGCGGCAAGACGGAAAGACCCCGUGAACCUUUACUAUAGCUUGACACUGAACAUUGAGCCUUGAUGUGUAGGAUAGGUGGGAGGCUUUGAAGUGUGGACGCCAGUCUGCAUGGAGCCGACCUUGAAAUACCACCCUUUAAUGUUUGAUGUUCUAACGUUGACCCGUAAUCCGGGUUGCGGACAGUGUCUGGUGGGUAGUUUGACUGGGGCGGUCUCCUCCUAAAGAGUAACGGAGGAGCACGAAGGUUGGCUAAUCCUGGUCGGACAUCAGGAGGUUAGUGCAAUGGCAUAAGCCAGCUUGACUGCGAGCGUGACGGCGCGAGCAGGUGCGAAAGCAGGUCAUAGUGAUCCGGUGGUUCUGAAUGGAAGGGCCAUCGCUCAACGGAUAAAAGGUACUCCGGGGAUAACAGGCUGAUACCGCCCAAGAGUUCAUAUCGACGGCGGUGUUUGGCACCUCGAUGUCGGCUCAUCACAUCCUGGGGCUGAAGUAGGUCCCAAGGGUAUGGCUGUUCGCCAUUUAAAGUGGUACGCGAGCUGGGUUUAGAACGUCGUGAGACAGUUCGGUCCCUAUCUGCCGUGGGCGCUGGAGAACUGAGGGGGGCUGCUCCUAGUACGAGAGGACCGGAGUGGACGCAUCACUGGUGUUCGGGUUGUCAUGCCAAUGGCACUGCCCGGUAGCUAAAUGCGGAAGAGAUAAGUGCUGAAAGCAUCUAAGCACGAAACUUGCCCCGAGAUGAGUUCUCCCUGACUCCUUGAGAGUCCUGAAGGAACGUUGAAG